GACGAACGCUGGCGGCGUGCCUAAUACAUGCAAGUAGAAGGCUGAAGAGAGGAGCUUGCUCUUCUUGGAUGAGUUGCGAACGGGUGAGUAACGCGUAGGUAACCUGCCUUGUAGCGGGGGAUAACUAUUGGAAACGAUAGCUAAUACCGCAUAACAAUGGAUGACCCAUGUCAUUUAUUUGAAAGGGGCAAAUGCUCCACUACAAGAUGGACCUGCGUUGUAUUAGCUAGUAGGUGAGGUAACGGCUCACCUAGGCGACGAUACAUAGCCGACCUGAGAGGGUGAUCGGCCACACUGGGACUGAGACACGGCCCAGACUCCUACGGGAGGCAGCAGUAGGGAAUCUUCGGCAAUGGGGGCAACCCUGACCGAGCAACGCCGCGUGAGUGAAGAAGGUUUUCGGAUCGUAAAGCUCUGUUGUAAGUCAAGAACGAGUGUGAGAGUGGAAAGUUCACACUGUGACGGUAGCUUACCAGAAAGGGACGGCUAACUACGUG
rnacentral:rRNA from 1 species